UCUUUUGUUUAAGUGGAAUCUCACUUUUUGAACUGCCGUUUCCCUACAUACUGUAAUACAUGUUAGUAUUGAUAGACUUCCUUUAUAAAUACACUUCCAAUCUGAAUUUAGUUCUGUACUAAAAGAAGAGAGUGGACACUUCCCUCCCCCUGCUAGAAGAGGUUUUUUAUUACAUCUAUGCUAAACUUUUUCAUCUCAGGAGAUACACAGCAGGUUUCAGACUCCCAUCUGUUCAGCGUCUAGCCCAGGAAAGGCUCACAGAUGGCGAUUUUGGUGGACACGAGUUAGAACAUGGCAGGACAGUUCAUGUUAUAUCAUAAGUGGAGUCUGGGCAGUGCAGGAGCUUUACAAAUCUUUACAUUUUUACAUAUAUUUUUAUUUUUUAUUGGCAAUAUUUCUUAAUGUUUUAAAUGUUUUAAAAAUGUUAACUGUUUACUCACUCUUACAGAACGUGGCUUUAGUUGGUGUUUAACAUCAUUUUUUUGUCACUACAGAAAUAUUGGGUUUUCAUGUGCAUCCAUAUUUAAGGUGCAGGUAUACUGUAGGCUGAAUUUGAAGCCCAAAUCUCAAAUGCAUAACCUUUAACGCUGGCAGUCACACCUUCAGGCAACUCCAAUUUCUCUAACCUGGCUGCAUAUCUUUGGGAGGAUGCUACAGUUUCUGAUUUGAUCUUAAGCAGGCACAUGGAAAAACAUGAAAGCUCCAUAUGAUGUUCCCAGUAAGCAGAAAGGUUUGCACCAAAGACUUUGUAUCAAGACAGAGGGUGCAACAGACGCCUUGGAGUGGAGGCUAACUAUUUAGAGCUCCCCCUGCUGACUGGCCGCAGUACAGGUCAUGAACCCCGCCCUCUUUUUAAAAAAUUUUUUUCGGUAAGAUUUAUUUUGGAGUUGUUUGUGCCAUUAUUGCAGAGCCAGGACAGGGGAUAGAAAUCAGGGAGAGAGACAUGCGGGAAAGGAGUCUCAGAUCAGAUUCAAUCCCGGGCCACCCCCCUUGGCGCUCCAACCACUACGCUACCGGCGCCCUAACCUGCCUUCUUAAUGUCAACAGGUGGAAGAAUACUGAUGCUGUGCCUCCUGGCUCCUCGCUGCUCACCCGUCUCUGAUCUGCUUUCUUGACAGAAUAUGACAGGCUACCUGUCCAGGGUUUACCAUGCAUCUAGGGACAGCUGAAAUCGGCUCCAGCCCCACCAGGACCCCUGACUGGAUCAAUACAGUUCAUGAAGACAUGCAGAGAAUGAGCUGUGUCCCAGCAGAGCAGCUUCUUACAACUGGGGGGAGUCCCCAACCUAAUAUCCACAUGACAGAGCCUCCUGCUGUAAAGACGCAUCUUUGAAACGGGGAGAAGAAAGAGGUAAAAAGAAAAAAGGAAGGAUCAGUUGGUGUCUCUCACUUUGACUACAAAAGAGUGAAAGAGGAAAAACUUCAUUAUAUGGGCGAGUGACAGGAAAUGUGGAACACGACGACAGAGACACACAGAAUGAGGACUUUUUUUUUUCUUCUUCUCCCACCUCUGUUUCAUGUCUGUCGCUGAAAAACAAAGAAGGCAUCUCUGUGGACCGUACUAUCCAUAUCACACACACACACACACACACACACACACACACACACACACACACACACACACACACACACACACACGCACACACACACACACCCACAACACACCCACACACACACACA